UAAGGCCCGGUUUAGACGGCGAACUUUUCAUGCGCCGAAUCUAAUUGUCGUAGAUACGGCAAAAUAUCGGAAGCUGAUUUAGACGUCGAACUUAAUUGUACGGUUUGUACCGUACCAAAUUGCGAGGACACUAUAUUGGACAUAUUUACAAUGCAAAUAUAUGAUAAUCAUGUUAUGAUGUUAAAAAAUAAUUAUGCAUUAGGUUCGGCGCAUGAAAAGCACGGCGUCUAAAUCAAUGUCGAACCUGUGUCGCAUAUACGACUUGUCUUGUCGCAUCUUCGAGUCAUGUCGAACUUAAUCAAAACCUGUCGAACUUAAUUGAUUUAGACGCCGCUCCAGCGUCGCACUUAAUUCUUGCAUUAGAUUCGGCGCAUGAGAAGUUCGCCGUCUAAACCGGGCCUUAGUCUAGACUAGUAAUUUCAUUUAAUAAUAACAAGAAUAUAUAACAUUUUCAGCAAACUCAUUAUACACAUUUGUUGACAAAGAAUAUAAGUUAUGACAUGAUUUUUUCGGUAAACCGCAAUUGAUAUCCAAUGGAAAAUCGAUAUCCAAUGGAUUUGAUGUCUACCGAGCGUACGUUUUUGUCCCAUAAACAAGACUUUACAAAAUAUAUAAACUGUUCUAUUAUUUGACUGUGGCACUGGCACUUUCUACGUCAGCUAUAAAUCCUAUAAUUUAUUACGUUACAAGUAUGACGAGCCGCACGGGUUUAAACAGGAUUAACUUUUAGGUGUUGCUUAACGCAGCAUUAAUAGGAAAAGUGUGAAAGGUGUUGACAUUUGUUUCCAAUUAAUAGCCUGGAUUAUUUUCCCUUGCAUGUAAUUUAAUGCCAAGUAAUGAGAUGUAGUUUAAUCAUUGAAAAAU